rnacentral:tRNA from 1 species
GCGUUCGUGGUGUAGUGGUCAGCACGCUCGACGCGUAACCGAGAGGUCCGUGGUUCGAUUCCCGGCGAAGGCC